GACGAACGCUGGCGGCGUGCUUAACACAUGCAAGUCGAACGGAAAGGCCCUGCUUUUGUGGGGUGCUCGAGUGGCGCAAGGGUGAGUAUAACGUGAGUAACCUGCCCUUUACUUUGGGAUAACUUCAGGAAACUCGAGCUCAUACACGGUAGGAGCUCCUGCUGCAUGGUGGGGGUUGGAAAGUUUCGGCGGUUGGGGAUGGACACGCGGCUUAUCAGCUUGUUGGUGGGGAAGUGGCUUACCAAGGCUUUGACGGGUAGCCGGCCUGAGAGGGUGACCGGCCACAUUGGGACUGGGAUACGGCCCGGACGCCUACGGGAGGCAGCAGUGGGGAAUAUUGCACAAUGGGCGGAAGCCUGAUGCAGCAACGCCGCGUGCGGGAUGACGGCCUUCGGGUUGUAAACCGCUUUCGCCUGUGACGAAGCGUGAGUGACGGUAAUGGGUAAAGAAGCACCGGCUAACUACGUG
rnacentral:rRNA from 1 species